rnacentral:rRNA from 1 species
AUGGAACGAGAUGGGAUGGCAAGGGUAAGAUCCAUCCACAGAUUUCAGAAAUCCUACGAGCAGCUCCUUUGUAAGCAAAAUGGUGACAGAGCAUUGUGGGAAUAUCCAUUUGCUGUAGCUGGAGUAAAUAUUACAUUUAUGCUCAUUCAGAUGCUUGAUCUUCAAACAGAAUGGACAAAGAAGCACACAUUCAGCUGCUUGCUUCUGAUUGGCCAAUGCUUGAAGUCAUGGAUCGAUGACAGGGCAUGUCCUGAUUGGUGCUCCUGGUUCAUGUCUCUCUCCCUUAUCUCCUCAAGUGCACAGCCGCAGCCAGCACCUCACGCCUCAUCUCUUCGCUGCCUCGCCGGAGUCGCCGCUCCUCGCCGGAGACGCCGCUCCUCGCGCCGCCACAGGUCCUGUCCCCUUCUUCUUCUUCUUCUUCUUCUUCUUCUUCUUCUUCUUCUUCUUCACCCAAGCAGCAGCAGCAGGCUACACUCGCUGCUCCUCGCCGGACAGCAGCGGCGCAGCCGCAAGCAUCGGCCGAAGCACCAAGCAGCAGCAAGCACGCGCAAGCAACAACAGCCCCGGCCGCCGCUGCUGCUCCUCUUCCUCGGCCACGACAGCAACAGGUGGUCAAGCACGUGUGCAAGCAGCAUCAGUCGGGUGGCUUUGACGAAAGGCGUGAGGAGGCGGCUGCUCCGUGCAACACUGCAUCUCGCCGUCCUCCUCUCGAUCUGUGCCUUCCCUGAACGUCGGAGGCCUGUGCGCAGCUCACCAACGCGGCCAUUGCGGCACUACGGUGACCACCACGGGUGCAUGGGCGGGGCACACGCGAUGGGAGCAGCGCCGACGACUGGAUUUGGCCACGAUUAA